UAAUUAAUCAUAGACCUUUCCCUUUCUUCUUCUUCCAAAACGAAAAAGUUAUAACUCUUAUUUUGCUUUCACUUUCCAAACUGUUUUCUUUUUCUCUUCCCUCUCCAUAAAUUUUGUUUCAGAUUUCUAAUUAUAACAUUGAUUCUUAUCGAACCACCUUGAAAUCACCUCCUUCGGUAAAAAAAAGAAAGAAUCAAUGGUGAUGAGUCUCAUAGAUGAGUGAUGGUCGUGUAAUCAUAUUCAUGUCCUCAUAAUCAGCUUUGCAUCAAGAAGAAGCUGAGACUAACCGAUACAUAUAUUUUGAGUAUUUCCCCAAAUCUUAUUUAUCCUCUACUUGAAACAAUGGAGACCAAAGAAGAGAAGAAGAUCCUCACAGAGGAAAAACUUAGAACGGAAGAAAAGAAGGCUGUCAAGGAAGCUAUUGAAGGAGGGACAUAGAUCUUUCCAACUGUUCGAUCCUGUUGUAUUGUGCAGCAUGUGAAACCAGAGGAAGGUAACCUAUAUAUGGAUAUGCUCCAGAACCAAUUGAUGUUCGAAGGAUAUUAUUAUAUGCAGACAUUCUCUCAAAUGGAGGGGAAGUCACAUUACAAUAGAUGGUCCAGUUGAUCCUGGUUGAUUUUACAAAAACCAUCCACGAUUCAAAUUUUUAAGUGGCAGUAAGGUGAAUGAUGGGCUUAUCGAACUGCAGAUUCUUGCUUGGAAUCCCGAGUAGAGUCUCUGAUUCAAAAUUCAAACAGUGAAUUCAGUGUGAUUAUAUUACAGAUGAAUGAACAAGACUGCAUCCUGAUCUCAUGUCUUUACCCUUGAAAGACGAGAAUAAAAUUAUCUCUAGGAUGGAUCACAAAGGCAAGAGAAAUGUAAUUGACAUAUAUGCAGCUCUGUGGAGGUAGAGGCAAUAUUAAAGCUCCUGCCAAGGCAUUGUUCGGGCAACCAGAAAAGAGCUUAAAUUUCUAACCUUUUUAGUCAGAACAAACAAGAGUGUAACGCAGCCAUAGUCCUUGCUCGCUCUUUUGAUUGCAAUUUUUAAAUAUGGGAGUUGAGGCUUAUAUGCUGGUAACACUGCUUGGGCUAAGAUGAUCAAACAAUGGUGAAUGAGCCAUUGUCAUUAACCACAACCACCAGUUUUAUUGUUGUGUGUGGCGUUUGUUUUUUAACUGUGGUUCAAAGAAGGAAGGUGUAAGUUUGGGUUCUCACUAGCAUAGGGUUUCAUUAUAAGCAGCAGAUUUCAUUUUUACUUCUUUUUUUUUAAUAUGGAUCAUCGUUUUAAUUUGGUUGCCAUUUAUUAUUUGUUUUGGUUUGUUCUUGAAUUUGGAUUAUAUUGUCAAAUAUAUGGUCAGGUCUCUUGUGGUUGAAUCAAUAGUCUAAUGAAUUUGUGGGUUAUCUAUACUUCUGAAACAUAUGAGCUUCCACGCUACUUCAGGGGCAUAGUUGGUCGUGUGGCAAACUGGAUCUAAGACGGCAAAUGUAGACUCAGUGGAAUCGACUACACCUCCCAUCAGUAAGCCUCUAAACAACAUCCAUGGUACGUAACACUUAUCUCUUAUUUUGUAUGAUUAUAUAGCAUUUUGCAAAGUUCAUCAGAUAUGUUUAAAACAUAAAUGUUACUCAUAAAUAUGGGACGUAGCAGAAGACGGUGAAAGACCUUUCAUCACUUUCAAAUAUCACAUAUCUGGUCGAGAAGAAGGUCCAUACAUCUAUAUAUGGGAUUAACGUUGUGGAAAAGAUCUUUUUUCAUCAUUUAUCUUAUACCUCUUGGAUAGGUUAUCCUGGUGCAGUUUCUAACACACCGACAUACAUUCUCAUGUCAGAAACUACCAUGAAACUUAACAUGGAGGCAUCUGCAGAGAACAAAAACACUCCAAUUAACUUAGCUCAGAAUAUGUACUGGAACUUGGCGGGUAAUAACUCAUGGAACAUUCUUGACCACAUGAUCCAGAUUUGGGGUCCACAUAUCACCCUUGAUCCACACACAGAUCAUGCGAGAUCCUUACGGGAAAGGGAUCUCCUUUCGCUUUCACCACAAGAAAGGGAUAGGCGAGUCUACAGGAGAGGUGGGUAUCAGAUACGAUCAUAACUACGUAUUGGACUGUCCUGAUCAAGAGAAGGACGGGCUGAAACAUGCAACAAAGCUGAAGGACUGUGCGAGUGAACAAGUGGUUUUACAUGGAUGUGGUUUAGGUAACUGAUUGGAAUUACUGGCCGUUUAAAUUAUUUAUGUCUUCAUAUAUAUAUAAAUUUUAAACGU